rnacentral:rRNA from 1 species
UACAGAGACUGCAAGCGUUAUUCGGAUUCACUGGGCGUAAAGGGUGCGCAGGCGGCCAAGUGUGUGAGGCGUGAAAGCCCGGGGCUUAACCCCGGAAUUGCACCUCAAACUACAUGGCUAGAGCAUUGGAGAGGGUAGCGGAAUUCACGGUGUAGCAGUGAAAUGCGUAGAUAUCGUGAGGAACACCAGAGGCGAAGGCGGCUACCUGGACAAUUGCUGACGCUCAGGCACGAAAGCGUGGGGGAGCAAACAGG